AUACUACUGUUCCUUAACAAACAGCAACAUGGGCAGCAGUGACACAGAUGAAAGGAACAGGCCAGACUCUGUCGAGAAGCUCCCAGGAUGCCUACACCCCUUCUGGGUUCCCAGUUGUCUUGAAAGCACCAUAAAUCCAGAAAAUGCUGGAGUUUGAGGACAAAACUUGCCCACAAGGAACGCCAUGCAACCUUCCUGUUCAAGUUAGCACAGCACAACAAGAGCAACACCAUACUGCCCUCAAAGCUCAUCAAUAAGCUAUGGACCCUGGGACUAAACGCCUCCCUCUGCAACUGGAUCAAGGACUUCCUGACGGGCCGCC